rnacentral:rRNA from 1 species
UAGGGAAUCUUCGGCAAUGGACGAAAGUCUGACCGAGCAACGCCGCGUGAGUGAAGAAGGUCUUCGGAUCGUAAAACUCUGUUGUUAGAGAAGAACAAGGACGUUAGUAACUGAACGUCCCUUGACGGUAUCUAACCAGAAAGCCACGGCUAAUGACGUGCCAGUAGCCGCGUUAAUACGUAGGUGGCAAGCGUUGUCCGGAUUUGUUGGGCGUAAAGCGAGAGCAGGCGGUUUCUUAAGUCUGAUGUGAAAGCCCCCGGCUCAACCGUGGAGGGUCAUUGGAAACUGGGAGACUUGACUGCGGAAGAGGAGAGUGGAAUUCCAUGUGUAGCGGUGACAUGCGUAGAUAUAUGGAGGAACACCAGUGGCGAAGGCGGCUCUCUGGUCUGUAACUGACGCUGAGGCUCGAAAGCGUGGGGAGCAAACAGG